rnacentral:rRNA from 1 species
CAGCAGGGACGAAGCGCAAGUGACGGUACCUGCAGAAGAAGCACCGGCCAACUACGUGCCAGCAGCCGCGGUAAUACGUAGGGUGCGAGCGUUGUCCGGAAUUAUUGGGCGUAAAGGGCUCGUAGGCGGUCUGUUGCGUCGGGAGUGAAAAACUCAGGGCUUAACCCUGAGCCUGCUUCCGAUACGGGCAGACUAGAGGUAUGCAGGGGAGAACGGAAUUCCUGGUGUAGCAGUGAAAUGCGCACGAUAUCAGGAGGAACACCGGUGGCGAAGGCGGUUCUCUGGGCAUUACCUGACGCUGAGGAGCGAAAGUGUGGGGAGCGAACAGGAUUAGAUACCCUGGUAGUCCACACCGUAAACGUUGGGCGCUAGGUGUGGGACUCAUUCCACGAGUUCCGUGCCGCAAGCUAACGCAUUUAAGCGCCCCGCCUGGGGAGUACGGCCGCAAGGCUA